GUACAAUUAGCAAACACAUCCUUGAGAUGGUGGAAUUGAAAGUAUUGGGGAGGAACGUUGUUCAUUUAUGAGAUUCUUCAUGCACAGAAGGGCUGAAAGAGUGUCAGGCAUUCAUCACCUCAAACGCGGGUCUAUGCGGAGUGACCAGAUGUCUCCCACCAAGCAAGAGUUGCUGUUGCUGGCUUCACCUUGCAGAGCUCUAGGCAUUUUUUCUCAUCUCACUCCAAGACCUUACAGUCUGAGUUCUCCUUCCCAAAACAAGUUGAUCCAUGCAAGAAAACUGCUGCUGCUGGACUGCGCUGAGUGAGGCGUGGAUGUAAGGUAGACCCUCUGUAUGGGCAGUACAGUAUUGCUCUUAGUUCAAGCAUGCAGCAUGUUUUUUUUGCAAAUACGAUCAUUAGAUAUUUUGUUGGUCUGGUGCUUGAUAGAUUUCAAGUCUGACCUGCACAAGUCAGUCUUGUUUUUCAAUCAAAUGACAUGCAUUCAGUACUUCAAGCCUUGAACCUUCUGCUUCUCAAAGAGCUCCAUUAAUGUAUGAAAACAUCAUAUCCUCUGCAUAUGAAGACCACAGGCCUGCUCUAAAGAAAAUCCUCCAGAGCUGGUAUACUCCAUACUUCUGAACACCAUGAGAGCAGCUUUGUCUAGAAAGGUCGCAAAUGACCUUUAAUGUUUUGCAGAUUUCAGAUUUUUGCAUAUAUUUGGGGAAAUCACGUUUUUC
rnacentral:lncRNA from 1 species